ACGGGAGGCAGCAGUGGGGAAUAUUGCACAAUGGGGGAAACCCUGAUGCAGCGACGCCGCGUGAGCGAUGAAGUAUUUCGGUAUGUAAAGCCCUAUCAGCAGGGAAGAUAAUGACGGUACCUGACUAAGAAGCCCCGGCUAACUACGUGCCAGCAGCCGCGGUAAUACGUAGGGGGCAAGCGUUAUCCGGAUUUACUGGGUGUAAAGGGAGCGCAGACGGAAUGGCAAGUCUGAAGUGAAAUGUAGGGGCUCAACCCCUGAACUGCUUUGGAAACUGUCGAUCUUGAGUACCGGAGGGGCAAGCGGAAUUCCAGGUGUAGCGGUGAAAUGCGUAGAUAUCUGGAAGAACACCAGUGGCGAAGGCGGCUUGCUGGACGGUAACUGACGUUCAGGCUCGAAAGCGUGGGGAGCAAACAGGAUUAGAUACCCUGGUA
rnacentral:rRNA from 1 species